UAAAACGUCAAAAUCAUUUUU
ensembl:piRNA 21ur-11272 ncRNA